GGGGGCGACCGGCUUCGACGCAGGUCGCGAAGCCUUCGGUGCAUGCAGAGCUGCGGUUCGCUCUUAAAACUGGUCGCAGAUUCAUAAUUGCCAACGACAGCAAUUACGCUCUCGCUGCUUAAGCAGUGAGCCCUCUGCCCGGAUUUGUCUGUGGAUCCGGAGCCGAAAGGCGCGCGGAGGGUCAUGAAACACGGAAUCGUGCGCAUUCUAGUCUGUGGGAUGCGCGCUAAAUUAAAGCAGAAUCGCCAUGUCGUCAUCCUGUCUGUCGGAGGGCGGUGCGGUUAAAGCCAAAAGACAAACUACGCAUGUAGAUCCGGUGGUCUAGGUACUGCGGACGCGGGUUCAAUUCCCGCCGCCUCCACCA
rnacentral:tmRNA from 26 species